rnacentral:lncRNA from 1 species
AACUGUGCUAUUUAUUGUAGAGGGAGGAAGAAGAAGAGGAAGAAGAGGUUAAAUUGAUUAGCAGCAUAUUUGAUCGAGCUCGUGGUAGCUCAUCUAACACUGAUGAUGAAGAUAUUUUGCCUGAAUUUGAAGACCUUUUAUCUGGAGAGAUUGAAUACCAGUUACCUAUUGACAAGUAUGACGAGGCAGAGAAGAAUAAAGUUUAUGAAACUGAGAUGGCAGACAAUGCAAGGGAACUAGAACGCUUGCGCAGCCUAGUACUGG